rnacentral:lncRNA from 7 species
ACAAUCCUCAGAGCCAUCCUCCCAGGAGCAUCUGUCCCUUGCAACCUUAUGUAGCCACUGCACUGCUGCUCCUCCCCAUAGAAGAAGGUCAGAGUGGAGACUUAAUUUGCCCAUGAAAUUUCGACUUUUUGGCAAAAUACUGCAUCUUCAGCCAGGAGAAGUUGGCGAAGUACAAAAGGGCUUUUGAAGCGGAGGUUCUGAGUUAUGCUGUCGUCUACCUGGGAGUGCUUAAGUUUCUUCCUCUGCAAGAUGAUGUGGCCAAGCCCAUUAGAUUUGGUGGAGACCCUGAAGAUUUUGUUGAAGGGGCAGAAGAGGACACUUUUUGAAGAUGGAGGAAGCUUUCUUAGGCUAUAGGAAGAGAAGGAGCCUUAGACAGAGAUGUCAGAGGAUGCACAAAAGACCUUUCUACUUGUCUACUAUGAGACACAGUUGAGAUGACAAAAAAAAGUAAAGGAAUAGUGCAGGCAAAGAUUAAGAGUUCCCAAGGCUUUCCCUCAGUUUGAAAAUGGAAGCAGAGAUUAACCAUACCUUGUCAAAGCUGCGCUUCCAAGACACUGGAGUUCUGCUCAUAGAUUUUAGAGAUUGUUGACUAUUAUGUAACAGAUGGCCUGACAGACCUCCGACUCUUUGCAGUGAUGGCUAGCUUGGCGUAGAAAAUAGCAGCACUGGAGUAAGCAUUCAGCGGCAUAGACGCUCAUGAAUUUUAACUCCUCGGUGACAAAGGAAUUCAAGGGGAAAUGUUUCUGUGCCUGGCCAGUCAAUGGAAACUUCCUGGUAAAGUAGAGGAAAGAGGGGGAAAAGGCAUUCACCUCAGAAGAGCACCCUCUAAACAAAUCAGUCAGAUAUUCAAAUCAGAGCUGGCAUAUAUUAUUUUAGAUUAUUUAAGAUUAGGUUAAAUUAAAUUAUAGCAUCAGUACCAAUGUAUUGCAGGGGCAGAUGAGUGAGAAAGUAAAGAUAAGGCCAAAUGAUCUUCCACUGAACAGAAGCAGAGAGUUGAGCUUGAAGUUUCGCUUCUCAUAGCUUCCUGUUGAGACUACACUAUACUUAUAUGUCUGUGUAAACUGGCUAAAAUCCUGUUGAAGUCUUCCCUUGUCUUCCUCUUUUCCUUGGAGUGCAAGAGAGCUGGGCAUAAGUCCCAGCAGGAUAAGUGCUUUGUGUUUCCCACAGCAGAGCCACCAUCUCCACCAUGACAUGGCCAAAGAUGCCAUGACCUCAAAACCAUGUUUACAGCAGGGACUCCAUGGGCAUCUUUUAGCCCAUAUUGCUUUACCUUGAAUAAACUUCAUUUGUACUAGAACAUUUGCCAAUUUAUCAGCAGAGGAGGUAGUUUAGGAGUGGUAAAAUAGCAGCUCCUUCCCUCUUAGAUGUGCUCUGGUACCCCUAAAGAUGAGGCAUGGUCUUUCCCUGCAGUUCAGGAACACAUCUCCCAUUGGAAGUCACUUGUGGAAAAGCCUAAUUCCAGCCCAUAAAGACUGCAAAGGAUAAUUACAGUAUAUGUUUUUUAGUAAAAUGUACUUUAUAUUGUUUUGUUAUAUAUGUGGUUCUAGUAAGGAAGAGCUAUGCAUUUACCACUAUCUUUGUUAUAUGUUCUUUCAGUCCAGAUGUUGUGAUGAUUUUUUCCCAGAAAGAGACUGAAUUGUUAAACCCAAGGUUUUCUUGGAUUCUCUGCAAAUAUAUAUAUGUAUAUGAAAAAUAUCUACUACAUGUGUAUUAGAAUUAGGAAGUGGAGGACAGUGACAAAUACUAUCUACAAGAAACUUUUAAUCCAAGACUUUCAAAAAUGAAGGCUAAAGCUCAGCUCCUAGGUGCAUUAGUGAACCGCAGUACCCAGUCUCCACACAUCCCGAGAAUCUGGAAGCAGCAGAUUUCUCAGACUCUCCACAAAGGAGCAGAAUGUUGGGUCC